AGCAGCCGCGGUAAUUCCAGCUCCAAUAGCGUAUAUUAAAGUUGUUGCAGUUAAAAAGCUCGUAGUUGAAUUUCGGGGUUAGUAGGUUGGUCAUGCCUCUGGUAUGUACUGGUCUCACUGAUUCCUCCUUCCUGAUGAGCCGUAAUGCCAUUAAUUUGGUGUUGCGGGGAAUUUGGACUGUUACUUUGAAAAAUUAGAGUGUUUAAAGCAAGCUAACGCUUGAAUACAUUAGCAUGGAAUAAUGAAAUAGGACGUUCGAUCCUAUUUUGUUGGUUUCUAGGAUUGACGUAAUGAUUAAUAGGGAUAGUUGGGGGCAUUAGUAUUCAAUUGUCAGAGGUGAAAUUCUUGGAUUUAUUGAAGACUAACUACUGCGAAAGCAUUUGCCAAGGAUGUUUUCAUUAAUCAAGAACGAAAGUUAGGGGAUCGAAGACGAUCAGAUACCGUCGUAGUCUUAACCAUAACUAUGCCGACUA
rnacentral:rRNA from 1 species